rnacentral:rRNA from 1 species
UACGGGGGGUGCGAGCGUUGUCCGGAAUCACUGGGCGUAAAGCGCGCGUAGGCGGCUUGCUAAGGCUGUGGUGAAAGCCCGGGGCUCAACCCCGGGUCGGCCUUGCCGACUGUCAAGCUGGAGUACGGUAGGGGCAGGCGGAAUUCCGGGUGUAGCGGUGGAAUGCGUAGAGAUCCGGAGGAAGACCGGUGGCGAAGGCGGCCUGCUGGGCAGUUACUGACGCUGAUGCGCGACAGCGUGGGGAGCAAACAGG